rnacentral:tRNA from 3 species
GGGCCGGUGGUCUAGUGGUAUGACGCCGCCCUUACGAGGCGGAGGCCGUGGGUUCGAGUCCCACCCGGCCCA